rnacentral:rRNA from 1 species
CGAACGGUAACAGGAAGCAGCUUGCUGCUUCGCUGACGAGUGGCGGACGGGUGAGUAAUGUCUGGGAAACUGCCUGAUGGAGGGGGAUAACUACUGGAAACGGUGGCUAAUACCGCAUAACGUCGCAAGACCAAAGAGGGGGACCUUCGGGCCUCUUGCCAUCAGAUGUGCCCAGAUGGGAUUAGCUUGUUGGUGAGGUAACGGCUCACCAAGGCGACGAUCCCUAGCUGGUCUGAGAGGAUGACCAGCCACACUGGAACUGAGACACGGUCCAGACUCCUACGGGAGGCAGCAGUGGGGAAUAUUGCACAAUGGGCGCAAGCCUGAUGCAGCCAUGCCGCGUGUAUGAAGAAGGCCUUCGGGUUGUAAAGUACUUUCAGCGGGGAGGAAGGUGUUGUGGUUAAUAACCGCAGCAAUUGACGUUACCCGCAGAAGAAGCACCGGCUAACUCCGUGCCAGCAGCCGCGGUAAUACGGAGGGUGCAAGCGUUAAUCGGAAUUACUGGGCGUAAAGCGCACGCAGGCGGUCUGUCAAGUCGGAUGUGAAAUCCCCGGGCUCAACCUGGGAACUGCAUUCGAAACUGGCAGGCUUGAGUCUUGUAGAGGGGGGUAGAAUUCCAGGUGUAGCGGUGAAAUGCGUAGAGAUCUGGAGGAAUACCGGUGGCGAAGGCGGCCCCCUGGACAAAGACUGACGCUCAGGUGCGAAAGCGUGGGGAGCAAACAGGAUUAGAUACCCUGGUAGUCCACGCCGUAAACGAUGUCUACUUGGAGGUUGUGCCCUUGAGGCGUGGCUUCCGGAGCUAACGCGUUAAGUAGACCGCCUGGGGAGUACGGCCGCAAGGUUAAAACUCAAAUGAAUUGACGGGGGCCCGCACAAGCGGUGGAGCAUGUGGUUUAAUUCGAUGCAACGCGAAGAACCUUACCUGGUCUUGACAUCCACAGAACUUUCCAGAGAUGGAUUGGUGCCUUCGGGAACUGUGAGACAGGUGCUGCAUGGCUGUCGUCAGCUCGUGUUGUGAAAUGUUGGGUUAAGUCCCGCAACGAGCGCAAC